rnacentral:rRNA from 1 species
AAACCGGGGCUAAUACCGGAUAACAUUUUGAACCGCAUGGUUCGAAAUUGAAAGGCGGCUUCGGCUGUCACUUAUGGAUGGACCCGCGUCGCAUUAGCUAGUUGGUGAGGUAACGGCUCACCAAGGCAACGAUGCGUAGCCGACCUGAGAGGGUGAUCGGCCACACUGGGACUGAGACACGGCCCAGACUCCUACGGGAGGCAGCAGUAGGGAAUCUUCCGCAAUGGACGAAAGUCUGACGGAGCAACGCCGCGUGAGUGAUGAAGGCUUUCGGGUCGUAAAACUCUGUUGUUAGGGAAGAACAAGUGCUAGUUGAAUAAGCUGGCACCUUGACGGUACCUAACCAGAAAGCCACGGCUAACUACGUGCCAGCAGCCGCGGUAAUACGUAGGUGGCAAGCGUUAUCCGGAAUUAUUGGGCUUAAAGCGCGCGCAGGUGGUUUUCUUAAGUCUGAUGUGAAAGCCCACGGCUCAACCGUGGAGGGGUCAUGGGAAACUGGGGAGACUUGAGUGCAGAAGAGGGAAAGUGGAAUUCCAUGUGUAGCGGUGAAAUGCGUAGAGAUAUGGAGGAACACCAGUUGGCGAAGGCGACUUUCUGGGUCUGUAACUGACACUGAGGCGCGAAAGCGUGGGGAGCAAACAGGGAUUAGAUACCCUGGUAGUCCACGCCCUAAACGAUGAGUGCUUAGUGUUAGAGGGUUUCCGCCCUUUUAG